GGAACCAAUAAAAUGUUCAACUGUGAGAGAAUAUUAAGAACAUAAGUCAACGAAUUUUCUUUUGUUCAAUACCCUCAAACAUCACUCUCAGUAAACACUGGAUUUGUCUCCACUUUUGAGAGAAUUUAUUUCCAUACAAACAAGUUGUCAUCUGUCGUCAUCAUGUUUGUUUGUUUUUUUAAGAGACCUCACUAAAAGCCUUUUACGACCAAUAACAGUUCAGUCUA